rnacentral:rRNA from 1 species
CCUACGGGAGACAGCAGUGGGGAAUAUUGCACAAUGGGGGAAACCCUGAUGCAGCGACGCCGCGUGAGUGAAGAAGUAUUUCGGUACGUAAAGCUCUAUCAGCAGGGAAGAAAAUGACGGUACCUGACUAAGAAGCCCCGGCUAACUACGUGCCAGCAGCCGCGGUAAUACGUAGGGGGCAAGCGUUAUCCGGAUUUACUGGGGGUAAAGGGAGCGUAGACGGCAGCGCAAGUCUGGAGUGAAAUCCCAUGGCUUAACCAUGGAACUGCUUUGGAAACUGUGCAGCUAGAGUGCAGGAGAGGUAAGCGGAAUUCCUAGUGUAGCGGUGAAAUGCGUAGAUAUUAGGAGGAACACCAGUGGCGAAGGCGGCUUACUGGACUGUAACUGACGUUGAGGCUCGAAAGUGUGGGGAGCAAACAGGAUUAGAUACCCCUGUAGUC